AGCCACAGCCAUGUCACCCUGCAGCCCAAGACCGGUUACUCACUGAAGCUAAGCAGGGCUGAGCCUGGUUAGUACCUGGAUGGGAGACCACUAGGGAACACUAGGUUGCUGUUGGAA
rnacentral:rRNA from 1 species